rnacentral:rRNA from 1 species
GACGAACGCUGGCGGCGUGCUUAACACAUGCAAGUCGAACGGCAACGCCCUGCUUUUUUGGGGUGCUCGAGUGGCGAACGGGUGCGUAACACGUGAGUAACCUGCUCUUCACUUUGGGAUAACUUCAGGUAACUGGGCCUACUACCGUAUCGCAGCUCAUGCUCCAUGGUGGGGGUUGGAACGUUUCGGCGGUCGGGGAUGGACGCGCGGCUUAUCAGCUUGUUGGUUGGGUAGUGGCUUACCGAGGAUUUGACCGGUAGCCGGCCUGGGAGGGGGACCGGGCACAAUGGGACUGAGAGACGCAGCAGACGCCAACGUGAGACAGCAGGGGGGAGUAUUGCACAGUGGGCGGGAGCCUGAUACGGCGGCGCCGGGGGCGGGAAGACGGCUUGCGGGGAGAGAAACGCAGUCGCUUGUGACGAAGCGGGAGUGACGGUAAUGGGUAAAGAAGCACCGGCUAACUACGUG